CCUCCUUUCCGCCCACGCUCCAGUCCUUCCGGGAGCUCCGGAGCUCCGGGGCUUCCACCACAUCUGCCGGCUCAGGACGGGUCGUGUUCAUCCCUUAACUUUUUAACUUUUUGUUGUUUCUAUUUAUAUUUUAUUGUGCUAUGUCUUGAAAUGUUGUUGUAGCUAUUACUUUUGAUUGGAUAUUAUUUAGUAUUCCUACUUUAAAUAAGAGUAGUUUGCACACCACACAGCUAUAGUGUUAUAAUAUUCUGUUUUGUUUUGUAUCCUAUUAGCAGUGAGGAUUUUUUUUUACCUUUAGGUGAUCAUUUAUUACUCAUUAAUGUCCUUUUCUUCCUGACUGAAGUACUCCCUUUAGCAUUCGUCCUGGCCAGUAGAGUUUCCACUGUAAAGUCUGCUGCCAGACGUGUUGGAGCUCCCCAGAUUUGUCCCCAGUGCCUUAUUUAGUUCACUUGGUGAGGUCAUGUUUUCCUGGAUGGAGUUGAUGCUAGUAGAUGUUCUUCAGUGUCUGGACAUUAAAAUCUUGGGCAUGCAACACCAUAUGAGAGGUUUAAAAAAUAAAAUUUAAAGAGAGAAAAGUGGUGGGAUUGCUGAAUCAGACAGAGCCAAUAGAUGAUCAGUAAUGGUGGCCAAUCAUCAGCUAGAAAGAAAGUGCUUAGCAGGGCUUGAAAACACCAAAACUCUGAGACCACUGACCUUCAAAAACUUCAACAGCCCUGAGUGAAAAGCCCAAACACAUUUAUCUACCAUUCAAAGACGCUUCAUUGUCUGUUCUCUGUGCAUCUCAGUAGUCUCUUUUUACCACACUGUCUAUAUACUGCAUGAGCCAUUUAUAUGAAACUAUCUGACACUCCAAGGCAUCUUAUACUAUAUAUUCAACCAUGUAUCCCUAGUACCUAGCACAGUCCUGGCAUAUAGUUUGCUACUAAACUUUUACAGAAUGAAGGAAUUAUCUUGUAUCCAGGUUCCAAGUUUUAAGGUGAUUCUUCACUAAAAAAAGUAUUACAGUUCACAAAUAAUCUACUUCCCUUUUUACAAAUGGGAUCAAUUUUAAUCUUAUCUCCUAAUAACAUUACUUUCAUUUACUCUGAUCUAAAUAUACUGUCCUAAGAGAGCAAUAAGAAAGAGAGUUGAAGCUGGAGUUUGAAGAAUUGUACAUGGUCCUGUGAUACCCUACCUUGUUUUAACCUGAGUGACUCUCUCCUAGCAGAGAGAGAGCCGGACAGACUCCAUUUUAGUUUCUUCACGUGCAUCCCCCUUUACCUCCCACCCUUAAUUGCAUAACUAGUGUAAACUAACUCAAAGCAGGUCCAGGAAUGCACUUACUGAUAAGAUAUUGAGGCAAGCUGCACCAGCUGCUCCUGGGUACGCACUCGGUGAAUGUCACGCAAAACCCCUGCAUUUCUCUCUUUGUGAUGGUUUAAGCCCCUGCACCUGGAACUGUUUAUUUGUUUUGUAACUGUUAUUGUAACCAAUUAAUUUUUUAACUAUUUGCCAGCUCUGCUUCUGUAAAACUUGUUUCAGCUAAACUCCCCCCUCCCCUAUUUAGACCACGGCAUAAAAACAAAACCAGCCCCUUCCUCGGGGCCAAGAGAAUUUUGAGCAUUACAUGCCUCUUGGUUGCUGGCUAAUAAAGGACUCCUUAAUUUGUCUCAAAGUGUGGCGUUCCUCUAUAACUCGCUUGGUUACAACAGUCCACACUGUGGCCUGAGGUGCAUCGCCCACCUGAGCUUCAUCUGUUAUGUAUGUCAGGGAAUAUAAGCAGGGUGAGAGUGGCCUCAUCAGAGGACCCCAGAUCUCUGGCUUACCCAUCUGGCAAGCGCACCUCUGUGAGCAAAGACUUCAGAGCCAGAUGACAAGAACGGCCCAAGCAGUCCACCAGGGAAACCUGGGCCCAGUGUACAUCAAUGCAGAGCAUCAAGCAUGGCGUAACAGGUGCACAGUUGCCUACUCCUGUUCAGAGAUGACUGCAUCCCACAUACCGUAAAAUGAGGAAAUGCAGAGAAGCAGAAGUAACUGAAGAAGACAGCAGAAGCAACAAGGAGGGACAACCAGGACCUAGGAGGGCACCAUGCCAGAGACGCCUGGACCCCACGCUAGGCUCAGUGCCUGUUAUACUCUUGGGAUCCAGCACUUUCCCUCUCCAUCACAUGGCAUACUUGCCAUUAUUUGUUGUGUAAAAUAUUGUCCUUAGUUUUCACCUUUCCUAGGAGACACAGGCAGAGCCUGUGACACUACAGCUUCUGGCACACAGUAGGUAGGUGCAUCACAAACAUCUGCUGAGUUCACACACUCUUGCCUUCUCAAACCUUCCUGUCAAGUCUUCAGUGAAAAGGAAUUGCUGAUUGAGCAAGAAUUAAACUUCUAGAGACUCCUGGAUCCACUGAAGUUUGAGACAAGGUGAGAUUUGUUUACUGUCAUAUUCCUAGCUCAUAACAUAUUGUAGUCACUUAAAAAAGUUUGCUGAAUAAGUGAGUAAAUUGAUUCAUACGUCAUACUUAGCUAUAUAUUUUCUGAGUAGAAUUGAUAAAGUUAAUAGUUUAAGUCUAGUAUAAUUUUGCUUUACUCAUUCAACGAACCUGACAAUUCAACUAGGUGCCAGGCACACUGCUGCUGAAGAAAAAGAGGUAUAAGAUAUAAUUUCUGUCUACAAGAAAGCCACAGUCUAAAAAGUAGAAACAUGAACAAAUUGUAACAAUAAAUAGGCUAAAUUCAAAAUCAGAGGAGUUUGUUUCUAUUUUAAACAGCUCUAGUCAGGAAGUGUUAGAGAGUUCUAAACAGGAAAUGUUCCAACACACCAUCUAAGCAUGAAGCAGGAGACACCCAUAAUUGAGUUUGCUGCCACCAACCCCAACAGCAAGAAUUCCAGUCCUGCUGCUGCAAAGUAAGUGUCACUCUGAUUUUAUUGCUGCUGUGUAACCCAGUUUUAGACUCUCUGGUUCUCACUUAAUGUUCUAAAAAAGUAUUAAAGAGAAAAUUUUAUUCUGGUGAUGAGCCCAUCCACUGCAGCCAUCUCAACAUCAUACCAAUUAUAAGCCUAUCAUUUAAAAAGAAAGCUGUUAGUUUAACUUAUUUAUCCAAAUAUCAGUAUUACAUAAACAUAUUUGUCAUCAGACUUUGGACUUAUGGGUUAAAUAGCAUAUAAAUAUGAUUAGAGCCUUAAAGUUUACACUUCUCUGGUUCGCUCAAAUUUUUUUCAAAAUAGCAUAUGCCUUUCUAAACAAUGGUUAGUAUAUUUUUCAAAAUGAACAUUAAAAUGUAUAUUUUCCAAAAACAAAAUACAGCUCCCAUUGGUAAAUGAUGCUAUUGAGACACAACAGACAACUUCUCUUGGGAACCAUUUAAUCAGUGCUCACUUUUGCACUCUUUCCAGAAAUGUCAAUGGCUUUGAAAUAUAGAAGUAUAUUAUACAAAUAAACUUAUACUUAUUCAGUAUUGUGCAAUAUUUAGUAUUUCUUCUAGCCAUCUCUUGCUGAAUAGUAAGCCAUUCCAAAACUUACGGAAUUAUUUAUUGUUUAAUAUUGUUUAUUGUUAUUAUUUGUUUAGUAAUUUUAAUAACGUUAUUUCUCAUGGUUUUGUGGGUUGAUGGGCACUACAAAAGUUCUCUUUUGGAGUCUUUCUUGCAGUUGCGGUUGCUUGGCUGCUGCUGAAGUCACCUGAAAGCUCAAUUAGGCUAAAGAGUCUAGACGGGUCACUUACAUGGUUGGCAGUGCAUAUUGGCUGCUGAGUGUGAUGCCUAUCUGACCUCUCCAUGUUACCUGGAGUGCUCAUAACGUGGUAGUUUGUCCCAAGACACACAGGCAAAUACUAUAAAGCUUCUUAGGACCUAGCCUUGGAGGUCCUAGAACAAGACUUCUGCUCCAUCCUUUUGGAAAAGCAAGUCAUUGUGACCAGCACAGAUUCAAGAAAUGGGAGAUUCGACUCUGCCUGUCAAUGUAAACAGCAGCAUGUGCAUGCAGGGAGGAAAGAAAUCGAGGGCAUCAUCUAGAAGACUAUCAUAUCACACCAUUAUUCCAACUAAUGAACAUUAUGUUUUAGAUGGGUAGUACUAGCUACUCAUCUCUCCCCCAGAAACCCAAGCUAAGCAUGGACAUAUUGAAGAGAAUGUCAGCACCAUUAAAAAAAAACUCUAGAAAAAUCACAUGUGAUGACUGAGGUUAAUUCAGUCUGUCAAUUACAUCAAUAUAAUUGCCUUCUUGUAGCCCUAAGUAUGGUGAAGCAGAAUUGAAUUCUACAAAAGUCUUUCAUCUGUUUUCCUAUGGAAUAAUUAACAAACCCAAUAAAUGUAUAAAUAGCAUGAAGUCCGACUUAUUUUAGAUUUUUACCUCAUAAUUUCAAAGCUUAUAG
rnacentral:lncRNA from 1 species